rnacentral:rRNA from 1 species
GAUGAACGCUGGCGGCGUGCCUAAUACAUGCAAGUCGAGCGAACAGACGAGGAGCUUGCUCCUCUGACGUUAGCGGCGGACGGGUGAGUAACACGUGGAUAACCUACCUAUAAGACUGGGAUAACUUCGGGAAACCGGAGCUAAUACCGGAUAAUAUAUUGAACCGCAUGGUUCAAUAGUGAAAGACGGUUUUGCUGUCACUUAUAGAUGGAUCCGCGCCGCAUUAGCUAGUUGGUAAGGUAACGGCUUACCAGGGCAACGAUGCGUAGCCGACCUGAGAGGGUGAUCGGCCACACUGGAACUGAGACACGGUCCAGACUCCUACGGGAGGCAGCAGUAGGGAAUCUUCCGCAAUGGGCGAAAGCUUGACGGAGCAACGCCGCGUGAGUGAUGAAGGUCUUCGGAUCGUAAAACUCUGUUAUUAGGGAAGAACAAAUGUGUAAGUAACUAUGCACGUCUUGACGGUACCUAAUCAGAAAGCCACGGCUAACUACGU